AGUAGUUUGAUCAGUGGCUCGAGGACGACGCUGGCGGCGUGCUUAACACAUGCAAGUCGAACGGGCACUUCGGUGUCAGUGGCGAACGGGUGAGUAAAGCGCAGGUAAUCUGCCGCAAAGACGGGGACAACGUUCCGAAAGGGACGCUAAUACCGGAUGUUGUGCAGGCUUCGCAUGGGGCUUGCAUUAAAGAUUUAUCGCUUUGCGAGGAGCCUGCGUCCGAUUAGGUAGUUGGUGAGGUAAGAGCUCACCAAGCCGACGAUCGGUAGCCGGUCUGAGAGGAUGAACGGCCACAAUGGAACUGAGACACGGUCCAUACUCC
rnacentral:rRNA from 1 species